AUCGGAUUAGAUUGAUGGGUUCGAUCGGUUAAAUUAUUGGUUAAACAUUUAUAACCUAUAUAGUAAGUAAAGAGGAAAAAUCAAAAAAUUAAUGAAAAUAAAAAAAAUCAGUCAUAAAUUGACAGUCCUCCAAUGACUAGGUUGAAUUGAAUUUUAAUUUUUUUUAACAUUAUUUUUAAAUUCACUAAAUGUAAGAUUUAAUAAAAACUAAAAAAAUAUCAAUUUAAUGCUAUUAAAUUAGAUGAUGCACAAUUUAAA
rnacentral:lncRNA from 1 species